UCUGCCCCCUCUUCGUGCAUUCUCUCUCUCCUUCACAGGCCCCACUACUCUGUCCUGGGGCAGGUGCCAGACACGGAUAUUUACAGAGAUGUGGCAGAGUACUCAGAGGCCAAGGAAGUCCCGGGGGUGAAGGUCUUCCGCUCCUCGGCCACCGUGUACUUUGCCAAUGCUGAGUUCUACAGUGAUGCGCUGAAGCAGAGGGUGAGACGGAGUCCCCAGGAUGGGUGUCAGGCCCCAGCUCCCAGAGAGCUCACCAACCCUUCUCUGAUGUUUGCCUCCAGUGUGGUGUGGAUGUCGACUUCCUCAUCUCCCAGAAGAAGAAACUGCUCAAGAAGCAGGAGCAGCUGAAGCUGAAGCAACUGCAGAAAGAGGAGAAGCUUCAGAAACAGGCAGGGCCCCUUUUGUCUGGUGACCCCCAUCUCCUGCCCCCUGUUCCCUGCCCCAGCCUUUCUCCUGGCCCCCGACUCCUCCCUCGUCCUCACUCCUCAUCCCUUCCCCUUUCUCCCUCAUGCUCCCAGGGACCCUGCUUCACUCCCCUAGCAGGUCCGGGCUCUAGGCAGCAUUUUCUCUCCCAUCAUCUGAACCAGUGACAGUGAGAACCGUCACAGUCCUCUUCCCUUUCACGGCUGUUCCAGGAGCUUCAGCCUGGCUGCU
rnacentral:sRNA from 1 species